rnacentral:rRNA from 1 species
UGGGCGUAAGCCUGAACCAGCCAAGUCGCGUGAGGGAUGAAGGUUUAUGGAUCGUAAACCUCUUUUAUAAGGGAAUAAGUGCGGGACGUGUCCCGUUUUGUAUGUACCUUAUGAAUAAGGAUCGGCUAACUCCGUGCCAGCAGCCGCGGUAAUACGGAGGAUCCGAGCGUUAUCCGGAUUUAUUGGGUUUAAAGGGUGCGUAGGCGGCCUUUUAAGUCAGCGGUGAAAGUCUGUGGCUCAACCAUAGAAUUGCCGUUGAAACUGGGGGGCUUGAGUAUGUUUGAGGCAGGCGGAAUGCGUGGUG